AAGACCGCUCGGUCGCCUCAGGGACAGCACCACCCAGCGAGGUCGCCCCUCCCCGGCCAGGGUUCCCCCCUGCAGCUGAGCUUCGCAAACACUCGGGAGUUUAGAGCAGCCCGGAGGGUGAUGCGGACUGAAAAGCCGAAAUAACUUCACAUCAGGACUCCGUCUAACCUUGUGGGUUUUAACGCACCCUGCUCUGUCCUGAAAUCUGGAACUCAUUACCUCAUCAUCGAGAAACUGCACGAAAUCCGCGGCACACACACCAACCCCCCCCUGGAGCUGGGGAGGGGAAGGAGCAAACAUCCCUUUAAAAAGAAACCUACACACCCGAAUGAUUUAAAUUAAGGUGGAUGGAAGUUAUUUCCCUUCCUGGCGCUUGCCAGAUUUCAAGAAAAGAUGAAAAAUGAGAGCGGGGGAGGGAAGGCACAGCAGCAGCAGCAAAACCCGGGGCAGCAGCCGUGUUAAAAAAUGGGGGGGGGGGGCAUCAACUCAAGUCACUGGAGAGGAGUCAAGCAGAGACCCCGCGGGGAAUUAACGUUAGGUUCGUGGGCUGCAGUAAAAGUCGUGUUUCGCAAAGUUGAAAGAAAAAAAAUUGUUUCUAAAACAGUUGUGAUUUGGAAGGUUUCCCUGGGUUUGCCCAGAGGCUGGCGAUAAAUAAAAGUUUUGUUUUUUUUUUUUUUCUUAAA
rnacentral:lncRNA from 1 species